AUUGAACGCUGGCGGCAGGCCUAACACAUGCAAGUCGAACGCGUGGCGGACGGGUGAGAUAUGUCUGGGAAAACGCCUGAUGGAGGGGGCUAACUACUGGAAACUGUAUCUAAUCCCGCAAACCAUCAGAUUUGCCCAGAUGGGAUUAGCGAGAAGGGGGGGUAAAGGCUCACUUAGGCGACGAUCCCUAGCUGGUCUGAGAGGAUGACCAGCCAAACUGGAACUGAGACACGGUCCAGACUCCUACGGGAGGCAGCAGUGGGGAAUAUUGCACAAUGGGCGCAAGCCUGAUGCAGCCAUGCCGCGUGUAUGAAGAAGGCCUUAGGGUUGUAAAGUACUUUCAGCUGGGAGGCGUUACCCGCAGAAGAAGCACCGGCUAACUCCGUGCCAGCAGCCGCGGUAAUUC
rnacentral:rRNA from 1 species